CCUUGAGUUUGAUCAUGGCUCAGGACGAACGCUGGCGGCGUGCUUAACACAUGCAAGUCGAGCGGACUUUGAGAGCUUGCUCUCAAAGUUAGCGGCGGACGGGUGAGUAACACGUGGGUAAUCUGCCCUCAAGUGGGGAAUAACACAAAGAAAUUUGUGCUAAUACCGCAUAAAGUAUCUGAAUCGCAUGGUUCGGAUAAAAAAGAUUUAUCGCUUGAGGAUGAGCCCGCGGCCCAUUAGCUAGUUGGUGAGGUAACGGCCCACCAAGGCCACGAUGGGUAGCCGACCUGAGAGGGUGAUCGGCCACAUUGGAACUGAGACACGGUCCAGACUCCUACGGGAGGCAGCAGUGGGGAAUAUUGCACAAUGGGGGAAACCCUGAUGCAGCAACGUUUUGUUAGCGACGAAGGCCUUCGGGUUGUAAAGCUCUGUCUUCGCUGACGAACUAAUGACGGUAAGCGAGGAGGAAGCCACGGCUAACUACGUGCCAGCAGCCGCGGUAA
rnacentral:rRNA from 1 species